AUGUUUUCUGUGAAGCUCAAUGGAGGCUUAUCUCAUAGUUUCAACCCAUCCAGAGGAUUGAGACAGGGAGAUCCCCUCUCCCCGUACCUCUUUCUCUUCUGUGUGGAGGGGUUUUCGGCUCUUCUAAAGAAGGCGCAAGAGGAGGCUGUUAUCAAGGGGGUGUCGUUCGGGUCAAACGGGCCAAGUGUGACCCAUUUAUUGUUUUCCGACGACAGCGUGGUUUUUGUGGAAGGUUCUAAGGAAAACUUCGAGGCACUCCGGACCAUAUUGCAGCAGUACGAAGGUGCUUCAGGCCAGAAAGUAAAUUUCCACAAGUCUGCUGUUUUCUACGGGAAAGGAACAGAAGAUACUACCAAAUAAGAGCUAAAACAAUGUUUGGGCAUAAAAGAGGAGGCCUUGAGUGAGAGGUACCUGGGACUACCUACGGUGGUAGGGAGCUCCAAAGAUGGAACUUUUAAAUAUGUAAAGGAGAGAGCAAGAGGGAAAGUC
rnacentral:rRNA from 1 species